UUCCGCCAGGAGCACCGCUGAUUAGCUACGUUCGGGAUGGAUAACCGCUGAAAGCAUCUAAGCGGGAAGCCGGCCUCAAGAUGAGAUUUCCAUGCCCUUCGGGGCGAGAGGCUCCCAGUAGACGACUGGGUUGAUAGGCCGGAUGUGGAAGUGGGGACUAAAGACCCAUGAAGCUGACCGGUACUAAUAAGCCGAUAA
rnacentral:rRNA from 1 species